UUCGGCCUCGCACUGAUUCUCCAGUGCCCCCUGCACGCCCGUCGCCGCAUUCCAAUUCGAAUUCAGUACGCGAUCAUUCGCCUCCCGCGGCGCGGC
rfam:Pseudomonas putida CSV86 contig00036, whole genome shotgun sequence.